AAAAAAAAAAAAAAAUGAAGAUCCGGUGGAUGGGAAGGCGGAGAUUUGAGGAAAGGACAGUCUCCUACACGUCUUCCCCCUCGCAGAAGCGCGCCCUAACCCUGACAGCCACUGUGGAGCCACUGCUGCCCAUCAAAGAAGUUUGCUGACUUCUGGAAAUUAUCAGUGAUAAACCCUCCCUUUUGUCGUAAAA